rnacentral:lncRNA from 1 species
UCACAAUCUAUAUUUAGCCCAUUGAUGAAUAUGACAAAGGAUAUUGUUAUGGAAACUAACACUAACAAUGAUGAGAUUAUGAUAUUUAGUAUGCAUGGAAAUCAAAGUGAUGGAACAGAGAUCAAGCGAAAAAGAUCUCCAUCUAAAAAGCCUACCAGUCUAAAAUCUUCAUCUCCCCCAUGCUCCAAAAUGGUCAUGGGAAACAAACAAAGUACAAACUCAGAAGCUAAUAAUUAGGUAUGAAAACCUAUGGUGACGAAGGCUCAAUCUUCAAAAUCCUCCACGCA